rnacentral:rRNA from 1 species
AUUGAACGCUUGCGGCAUGCUUUACACAUGCAAGUCGAACGGCAGCGCGGGCUUCGGCCUGGCGGCGAGUGGCGAACGGGUGAGUAAUGCAUCGGAACGUGCCCAGUAGUGGGGGAUAGCCCGGCGAAAGCCGGAUUAAUACCGCAUACGACCUGAGGGUGAAAGCGGGGGACCGAAAGGCCUCGCGCUAUUGGAGCGGCCGAUGUCGGAUUAGCUAGUUGGUGGGGUAAAGGCUUACCAAGGCGACGAUCCGUAGCUGGUCUGAGAGGACGACCAGCCACACUGGGACUGAGACACGGCCCAGACUCCUACGGGAGGCAGCAGUGGGGAAUUUUGGACAAUGGGGGCAACCCUGAUCCAGCCAUGCCGCGUGCGGGAAGAAGGCCUUCGGGUUGUAAAACGCUUUUGUUCGGGAAGAAAUCCUCUGGGCUAAUACCCCGGGGGGAUGACGGUACCGGAAGAAUAAGCACCGGCUAACUACGUG